CUGGCCAGGGUGCUGUUCGAGGAGUCGAAGCACGAUGAGGCGGACGCCGCGAUCCAGCGAGCCAUCGAAAUCCCCUCGCCCAUCGACCCGGCUGAGAACAACGUCAUGAUCGACGAGGACGCGUGCGCGAACACCACCAAGGACCAGAGGGUGGAGAAUUCAAGGGAAAUGGCUCGCCAGAGCUUCCGAGCGAUGCGGCAAUGGAUGUGCGAUCGCCAUGUCCCGCUCGUCAUCAACAAGGUACUCGAAGUCGAGCUCGACGCCGACGAUCGCAAGGGGGCGGCACAGGCGCUCAUGACGGCAAAUGACCUCGCAAAGCGUUGCCAUUACUCGGCGCGCGCGCAGUUGUUCCGCGCAUACAUGAAGCUCAAUUUCGCGCGCGGCCUUGAUGCGACCAUGGACAGGAGGCCCUUUCUGGAUCGCAUCCGCGGCGAGGUGACCGAAGCGGUAAACCGCUUCAGUGCCUCGAUCGUGCUCAGCAUGUUCCGUGCCAAGCUCUGUUUCGUCCUGGGUUUCUAUGAGGAUGCGUACCUUGAGUUCCUUCGUGCGGUUUUUACUAUAGAGCAGCCUGUUGACCCCAGGUUGGAGGACGUGCCUCCUGGAUCUGUCAUUGGCCAGGAGCGUGCUGAUAGGUUAGUUUCUAUCAACAAAGAAUUCGCAAACCUAAUCCGGAGACUCUUGUGGGUGGCCAAGGUUUGCUGGGACUCCAUGACAAGCGAGGAGCAGGACGGCUUCCUAUCAGUGAGACUCGUUGAGCUGCAGAAGUACUGUGAUGACGUUUCUGAAAAUAGCCACUGGGCUGCACGGACCAUAUCUGAGGCACUAAGCUUUGUGAAGAAAACCAGGUCAUGGAGGUUCUGGAUUUGCCCCAGAAGUUACCAGAUACAGGUUCCCUCUUGCGACACAUGUGUAGCAAGCACCCAGCAGAGAAAGACCUGCCGAAGCUGCAGGCACUCUUAGAUCCAAACCAGAAUCACGAUACAUCUGUGGAUGAUAGUUCUUCUGAUGAUAUAACAGUUGGUCAAGACUCUGAGGACAAUUACUUCUUCUGUUUCAAGAAGACGGAUCAGAUGUUUGACCGCUUGUUUAUUCCGCCAUCUAUAGUAACUCAUGCUGAGCCAUUUGCUGAAAUACGAGAGAAGAAAUGCAAAGAAGGAACCGAGAUCCUAGAAAAGAUGAAGCAGAAGUUGAAGAAUUUACCCACAGACAAAUUAAGUGCCGAGCUCUGACAAUGUCCCUAUUGUAUCUCCUUGUUUUGACUUACAAUUUCUUAGUUAGGUUCAUUCCUGCACUACUGUGCUUAUGAUUGUCUUUAUCACAGUAAUCUCUAACUACGUUGUUUGUACAUUGCAGGUUGAUAAGGCUCGUCGUGAAAUCCAAGGCUUGUGGUGUGAUUUCCUUUCAACUUCUGUGUUGGAUUAUCACGUAGUCAUCUUGCCCCUUGCAGAAUCAUUCAUAUGGAGUAAACUGAUAAAAUCCACCAGUGAAGAUAAAGCUUCCAGUAAGAGUAUUGACAAUUCUGAUAUUGACACCGUGUUCCUGGAUGUUGUUAAUGCCGCUGGCAGCGAAAUGGUGCUGGAAUACAUGUUGAAAUACCUGGAAGCAAACAAAAAUCAUGAAUGUGGUGAUGACCAAGAUACAGAAGACAUGAAGCCUUCAGGGUUAGACAAGAGAUUGUAGAUGAUGAAAAAACUGAAGAAAGUGAGAAUCUCGUUGAAUACGGGAAUCCUGCCAUGUAUGGCGACAUGGAGGCGGAGGAGCAGCUGAAGAAGCUGUUUAUUCAGGGGGCAGAGCUCAACGAGACGGCUCCCAAGGAGCGACGCCGUCCUUGUGUCCAGUGUUAUGUUGAAGAUUGCCGUAACGGACCAAAAUUCUUUAACUUUUGGGGCAUGAUAAGUCACUAUGAAUCCAGGCAUCAGCAGUUCCUGCAAGAGCACAAGAAAGCAUCAACUUGUCCUAUUUGUGGUAACAAGUUCCAGUCACGUGAUGCUUAUAAGAUGCAUAAAAAGAUGAUGGGCACACAUUAGAACCGUGUGCAAGUGUUUUUUACACUUGUAUGGUGGAUGUUUGAUGACAUGUAAACUUUGUGCGGUGUAUAGUUUUGUUAUUGAAUGCUGUAGGAUGCGCAGGUACUCCAUAAUGUUGAUUUUUUGUCUGUAGAAUUCUGUAAUACUU